rnacentral:rRNA from 1 species
AAGCGUUAAUCGGAAUUACUGGGCGUAAAGCGUGCGCAGGCGGUGAUGCAAGACCGAUGUGAAAUCCCCGGGCUCAACCUGGGAACUGCAUUGGUGACUGCAUCGCUAGAGUAUGGCAGAGGGGGGUAGAAUUCCACGUGUAGCAGUGAAAUGCGUAGAGAUGUGGAGGAAUACCGAUGGCGAAGGCAGCCCCCUGGGUCAAUACUGACGCUCAUGCACGAAAGCGUGGGGAGCAAACAGGAUUAGAUACCCUGGUAGUCCACGCCCUAAACGAUGUCAACUGGUUGUCGGGUCUUCAUUGACUUGGUAACGUAGCUAACGCGUGAAGUUGACCGCCUGGGGAGUACGGUCGCAAGAUUAAAACUCAAAGGAAUUGACGGGGACCCGCACAAGCGGUGGAUGAUGUGGAUUAAUUCGAUGCAACGCGAAAAACCUUACCUACCCUUGACAGUAUGGAAUCCUGCUGAGAGGUGGAGGCCGAAAGGAGCAAACACAGG